CCUACGGGAGGCAGCAGUGGGGAAUAUUGGGCAAUGGGGGAAACCCUGACCCAGCGACGCCGCGUGGAGGAUGACGGCCUUCGGGUUGUAAACUCCUGUCAGGUGGGAAGAAACACCAUCCGGCUAAUAUCCGGAUGGAAUUGAUUGUACCACCAAAGGAAGCCCCGGCUAACUCCGUGCCAGCAGCCGCGGUAAUACGGAGGGGGCAAGCGUUAUUCGGAUUUACUGGGCGUAAAGCGCACGUAGGCGGCAUGGUAAGUCACAGGUGAAAGCCCUCGGCUCAACCGAGGAACUGCCUUUGAAACUGCCUUGCUUGAGUCCGGGAGGGGGGAGCGGAAUUCCCAGUGUAGCGGUGAAAUGCGUAGAUCCUGGGAGGAACACCGGUGGCGAAGGCGGCUCCCUGGACCGGUACUGACGCUGAGGUGCGAAAGCGUGGGUAGCAAACAGGAUUAGAUACCCUGGUAGUCCACGCCGUAAACGAUGGGCACUAGGUGCAGCGGGUGUCGACCCCUGCUGUGCCGUAGUUAACGCAUUAAGUGCCCCGCCUGGGGAGUACGG
rnacentral:rRNA from 1 species